CUGGUUUUUGUAAAACCAAGCACCUAUUCUUUCAUUGUGUAUCUUUUGUAGCCUACUAACUUUCCACGUGCAAGAGUGAUUGUAAAGUCUCCAUUUCCUUGUCUCCCCCUCCUUCAGAUCCGAUGUAAAUGAGAUAGCUUCGAUCACUCAAAUCAACAUUGAUGAUGGUUGGUACAGCGGAGUAAGCUUUAGACAGAGAGAGGGUCCAUAACUUGAGAAGACGUAGCAUAUAUCCUUCUCGUUGUGAGAAAAAGUAACAAACUUUUGGUUCAAAUGUAUCUUAUUUUGGUGGGUAGCAGGAUUUAGGUUUGUGAAUGGAAAAGGGAGGAGGAGAACCACAUUGGAAUUUAGAGAAUGAGGAGCGGGUUGUGAGGAAAGAGGUCUUGAAAGAGUCGAAGACUUGAAGUUGUUGGAGUCAAGGAGCACAUGAUUUGAUGAAGAUGAAACUUCUUCUUUUUAUCGUUGCUUGGUCCUCCCAUGCUGGUUAUUUUAAUGUAGUUCAUCACGCUCAGGUUGUAGUUGAGAGCGAUGAGACUUGAAG